UACGUAGGUGGCAAGCGUUAUCCGGAUUUAUUGGGCGUAAAGGGAACGCAGGCGGUCUUUUAAGUCUGAUGUGAAAGCCUUCGGCUUAACCGGAGUAGUGCAUUGGAAACUGGGAGACUUGAGUGCAGAAGAGGAGAGUGGAACUCCAUGUGUAGCGGUGAAAUGCGUGGAUAUAUGGAAGAACACCAGUGGCGAAAGCCGCUCUCUGGUCUGUAACUGACGCUGAGGUUCGAAAGCGUGGGUAGCAAACAGG
rnacentral:rRNA from 1 species